GACGAACGCUGGCGGCGUGCUUAACACAUGCAAGUCGAACGGAAAGGCCUCUUUCGGGGGGUACUCGAGUGGCGAACGGGUGAGUAACACGUGAGUAACCUGCCCUUGACUUUGGGAUAACUUCAGGAAACUGGGGCUAAUACCGGAUAGGAGCUCCUGCUGCAUGGUGGGGGUUGGAAAGUUUCGGCGGUUGGGGAUGGACUCGCGGCUUAUCAGCUUGUUGGUGGGGUAGCGGCUUACCAAGGCUUUGACGGGUAGCCGGCCUGAGAGGGUGACCGGCCACAUUGGGACUGAGAUACGGCCCAGACUCCUACGGGAGGCAGCGGUGGGGAAUAUUGCACAAUGGGUGGAAGCCUGAUGCAGCAACGCCGUGUGCGGGAUGACGGCCUUCGGGUUGUAAACCGCUUUCGCUCAUGACGAAGCUUUGUGUGACGGUAGUGGGUAAAGAAGCACCGGCUAACUACGUG
rnacentral:rRNA from 1 species